GCCCUUUUAAGUACAGAACACAAUUAUGAGAGGAUUCAGUUAAAUUGGGCCCAGGACAUGGUCUCAGACCCAAUUCCUAGGCCUGCCAAACAUAAUUUCAAAGGGAGCAAUACUGUGCUUGCUUGCAGGGUUGCUCUCAUUUUUAACAAGGCUAGCACUAAAGCAUGAGUACAUUUUAGGCCAGCAGAUUUCUAAAUGAGGUUUUAGAGUCCAAUUCAUCUGCUCUAUUUGUCCAGAGGACUGAGGGUAACAGGGAGUAUGACAGCAUGAUUUGCAUCAUUCCUGAACCACAAUAGACUAUGGGCUAUGUGGACAUCCUAGAAAACAUAACGUGACAAAAAUCUUUUGCCUCCCACAGGCCUUAGUUCUACAGAAUCCAGCUGCUGUGAGGUCCCUGGUGAAGCUGGUGGAAGAGAACCUUCUUUAUGUACCUGGGGAGUGGCCUUAAAAGAAUCCUGUCAACAACCCGCACAUCAACGUUUUGGAUGAUGCUACCUGCUCAGCAGGCAUAGUGAGGCUUAUAGAUGGAGGAAGGAGAUGAGUCUCAGAUGAAACUCUGGACCUGGACGUGGGACUUUGUGUUAAUGCUGGAAUGAGUUAAGACUUUGGGAGACUAUUGGGGCCAGGCAUGGUGGCUCAUGCCUGUAAUCCCAGCACUUCUGGAGGCCAAGCCAGAUGGAUCACUUGAGGCCAGUUUGUCAGACCAGCCUGACCAACAUGGUGAAACCCCGCAUCUACUAAAAAUACAAAAAUUAGCCAGACACGGUGGCGCAUGCCUGUAAUCCCAGCUACUCGGAUUGCUGAGGCAUGAGAAUCACUUGAACCCAGGAGGCAGAGGUUGCGCUUUCCCCAUGUGAUAUGCUGCUCUCACUUCCCCUUCCACCACGAGUAAAAGCUCUGACGCCUCCCCAGAAGCUGAGCAAAUGCUAGUGCCCUGCUUCCUGUACAGCCUGCAGAACGGUCUGAUAUAUUUGCAGAUGGGUCUGCCCCCAGGAUGCUGUACUAAUCCUUUUUUGGCAUCUGCUCAACCGCCAUCAUCCAUGGAACCAGAAGUGGGCCUUCUCAGAUUAGCUAACUUCACAUAGGCGCUGCUGCCCACUCCUCGCCUGCUAACCCUGUCUGUCUUAAAAAUACAAAAUUAGCUAGGCCUGGUGGCACGCACCCGUAAUCCCAGCUACUCGGGAGGCUGAGGCAGGAGAAUCGCUUGAACCUGGGAGGCGGAGUUUGCGGAGAGCCGAGAUCUCGAGAUCUCGCCAUUGCACUCCAGCCUGGCGACAGAGCAAGACUCCAUUUCAAAAAAAAAAGAAAAUUUGACCCAGGUGUGACCUCACAAAUCAUCCAUCCAAAAUGUCCAUUCUACAGAUAGGGAACCCAUGACCCAAAGAAUAAAGCUUGUCCAAGAUCAAACUGAAG